rnacentral:rRNA from 1 species
UACGUAGGGUGCAAGCGUUAAUCGGAAUUACUGGGCGUAAAGCGCGCGCAGGCGGCCUUUUAAGUCUGAUGUGAAAGCCCACGGCUCAACCGUGGAAGGUCAUUGGAAACUGAAAGGCUUGAGUACAGAAGAGGAAAGCGGAAUUCCACGUGUAGCGGUGAAAUGACGUAGAGAUGUGGAGGAACACCAGUGGCGAAGGCGGCUUUCUGGUCUGUAACUGACGCUGAGGCGCGAAAGCGUGGGGAGCAAACAGG